rnacentral:rRNA from 1 species
UACGUAGGGCGCGAGCGUUGUCCGGAAUUAUUGGGCGUAAAGAGCUCGUAGGCGGUUUGUUGCGUCGGCCGUGAAAACCUGCAGCUUAACUGUGGGCCUGCGGCCGAUACGGGCAGACUUGAGUUCGGUAGGGGAGACUGGAAUUCCUGGUGUAGCGGUGAAAUGCGCAGAUAUCAGGAGGAACACCGGUGGCGAAGGCGGGUCUCUGGGCCGAUACUGACGCUGAGGAGCGAAAGCGUGGGGAGCGAACAGG